rnacentral:rRNA from 1 species
CACGUAGGGUGCGAGCGUUGUCCGGAAUUAUUGGGCGUAAAGAGCUCGUAGGCGGUGUGUCGCGUCGGCCGUGAAAACUUGCAGCUUAACUGUGGGCGUGCGGUCGAUACGGGCAUCACUGGAGUUCGGCAGGGGAGACUGGAAUUCCUGGUGUAGCGGUGAAAUGCGCAGAUAUCAGGAGGAACACCGGUGGCGAAGGCGGGAUCCUGGGCCAGUACUGACGCUGAGGAGCGAAAGCGUGGGGAGCAAACAGG